UCACCCGGGGCUGCCUUCGCAGCACCUCUUCCAUCGGGUGUGCGUUGUUCGGCGAUGGCGGUGCGGGAGCAGCCAGGGGGCUCGGCACGGGCAGCUGAGGGGAUGCUGCCUGGUGCCCACGUGAGUUGUUGAGGAGCCCAGGUUCAGCAUCUUUGUUGUUGCUGAGCUCCCGGCUGGCCGUGGGGGAGUGAGGCAGCUCUGUGAUGGAAGAGGAGUUGAGGCUGCUGGAGGCACGUGGGCUCGGUGGUUCUGUGGCAGUGGUGCGCUGCGUCAGCCCCUCCCUUCUGCAGCUGUGCAGAGCACUUGCAGCUUCUGGAAUAGCAGAACAUGCCCCGCCACGAUGAUGGCAGCCUUCCCACCCCCGCUUGGUGCAGACACCCACUGGUCAUCUGUGCAGACCGCAAACUCACCAUCCAUCCCGGCGAGCAAAGGGUCAAUUUCGGCAUCGCCGUCCAGAGUGCUGGUGCUGGGUCUGUCUUCUGGGCAAUGGAAGAAAUGCCCAGUGGGGCAAUGCCAGCUUUCCCGCAGGCGCUCAGCGCAGACAGCCCCCAUCAGCUGUGCUGCUCCCAAACGCACCGCUGUUGAUCCAGGUGAGCAGCUCGUCCAUGUCUGCGGUGUCGUGCAGGAUGCCUGGGUUGGCUGUCAGUUCUGGGGAAGGAAGAAAAUGCCCAGAGGGGCACUGCCAGCUUUCCUGUGCCCGCUCGGUGCGGGCACCCCCCGCCAGCUCUGCUGCCCCCAGCCUCACCCUUGUUGAUCCACGUCAGGAGCUCAGCGAUGUCCUCAGCGAUGUCCUCUGGGGUGUCUGCGCUCGUUGUCACUGCUGGCCAAGCAAGAGCAUCCCCAGUGGGGCAAUGCCAGCUUUCCCACAGCCCCGUGGAGUAGACAGCCUGCUGCCCGCCCUGCAGCCCCUGAACUCACGGCCUGAUUGUAGCGAGGCAGCGCUGCAGGAGAGCAGAACGCAGGGAGCGUCUGUGGUGAGAUGCUGAGGUGAAAUUGCCUUCCCUGCACCAGCAGCCUGUGUGUGUCCACGUGAUGCAUGGAGAAGAGAAGCCUGAAGUUCUUGACCACGGCCAUCCCCUGAAGCUCCAGUCAUGAAGACCCUGCACAUCAUGUCUGAUGGCCGUCUGUCUGCGCUGCCCUUGGCUGUGAUGGGUGCAGCUACCUCAUGUCCCCUCAAACUGCCAGGCAUCCAAGCUUCUCCUCCUCCACCAGCUCUCCACUGACUCCCACACCUUUGCCACCUCCCAUGUCGUGUAGUGGAAAUGCAUGGUGCUGGGGCGGGCCCAAACUCCCACCCUGACAGCAGGCACGUUUCCAAAAACUCUGCUCACUUGCUCAUCCUGCUGGCUCGUGAGAAGGUCCUGUUGUCAGCUCUGCCGACCGGCACAGCAGAGGUGGGAUUGUUAGAGCAGCCUGGAAAACAGCAGGGGAAAAACCAUUUCCCCCUUUGGCUGUUAUUUGUUGAGAAAUGCUGUGUGGUGAGUGUUGAGUCAGGGCCUGAACCACCAGCCCAGAUGGAGCAUCUGGGGAAAGGACCCAGUCAGCCCUGGGAGCGCAGGUGAGGGCAGUUCAGCUGUAUGAUGGAAUGAGGGGAGCCUGGCUGCACCUCUGUUAGACCUCACUGAAGGGCUGACCCUGCACUGGGCAAGGAUCUGUGGUUGGAGAUCCCUCCCUUGUGGAGUUUUCCCUGUGAGCCUGGAUCUUCAGGGACAGGUGAGCACUUUCCCUUUUCUUUGUAACACCCUUCUGUUGUGCUAGUCCCUUUGUGGUUACACCUCCUCCCUCUGCACUGAUCAUUCUGAUUGUUACUGAUGUCCUCUGCCCCU